rnacentral:tRNA from 1 species
GGCUUCGUAGGUCAGCUGGUACAGCGCUUGCCGCGUUGUGGCAUGGUGUUUCUGUCGCUGGUUCGAAUCCAGCCGAAGCCC